CCCAUUGAAUUGUUUCACUUGCAUGCUUGGAUUUUAGCCAUAAUCCACAAAAAUUUCCUUCACCAAAGUUGUUCCCCACAUCAAAAGGAAGCCAUUGAUACUAAUUUGAGAAGGUGGAAGUUGAAAUUGGGCUGUUCAAGGGGCUGCCAUCCAAGGUACUGGAGACCAGGCUCACCCGACACAGCCGCCACAGUAGCGUCUGACAGAGCUCUGACCAGAUCUGCCACUGUCUAGAGUCACCUCACUGGUCUUUUGUAUUUUGGUAGGGCC
rnacentral:misc_RNA from 1 species